AACGUAGGACGCAAGCGUUAUCCGGAGUUACUGGGCGUCAAGCGCGCGCAGGCGGACUGUUAAGUUAGCCAUGAAAGCUCCCGGCUAAACUGGGAGAGGCUGGUUAAGACUGGCCGUCUUGAGUGAGUGAGAGGGAAGUGGAAUUCCGCGUGUAGUGGUGAAAUGCGUAGAGAUGCGGAGGAACACCAGAGGCGAAGGCGGCUUCCUGGCACUCAACUGACGCUGAGGCGCGAAAGCAUGGGUAGCGAACGGG
rnacentral:misc_RNA from 1 species